GCCCUGGUGGUGUAGUCCGGACUAUCAUACUGCCCUUUCGAGGCGGUGACCCGGGUUCGAAUCCCGGCCAGGGCA
rnacentral:tRNA from 1 species